AUUGAACGCUGGCGGCAGGCCUAACACAUGCAAGUCGAGCGGAUGAAGGGAGCUUGCUCCUGGAUUCAGCGGCGGACGGGUGAGUAAUGCCUAGGAAUCUGCCUGGUAGUGGGGGAUAACGUCCGGAAACGGGCGCUAAUACCGCAUACGCCCUGAGGGAGAAAGUGGGGGAUCUUCGGACCUCACGCUAUCAGAUGAGCCUAGGUCGGAUUAGCUAGUUGGUGGGGUAAAGGCCUACCAAGGCGACGAUCCGUAACUGGUCUGAGAGGAUGAUCAGUCACACUGGAACUGAGACACGGUCCAGACUCCUACGGGAGGCAGCAGUGGGGAAUAUUGGACAAUGGGCGAAAGCCUGAUCCAGCCAUGCCGCGUGUGUGAAGAAGGUCUUCGGAUUGUAAAGCACUUUAAGUUGGGAGGAAGGGCAGUAAGUUAAUACCUUGCUGUUUUGACGUUACCAACAGAAUAGGCACCGGCUAACUUCGUG
rnacentral:rRNA from 1 species